rnacentral:rRNA from 1 species
AGUGAACGCUGGCGGUAGGCCUAACACAUGCAAGUCGAACGGCAGCACAGUAAGAGCUUGCUCUUACGGGUGGCGAGUGGCGGGCGGGUGAGGAAUACAUCGGAAUCUACUUUUUCGUGGGGGAUAACGUAGGGAAACUUACGCCAAUACCGCAUACGACCUACGGGUGAAAGCAGGGGAACUUUGGACCUUGCGCGAUUGAAUGAGCCGAUGUCGGAUUAGCUAGUUGGCGGGGUAAAGGCCCACCAAGGCGACGAUCCGUAGCUGGUCUGAGAGGAUGAUCAGCCACACUGGAACUGAGACACGGUCCAGGCUCCUACGGGAGGCAGCAGUGGGGAAUAUUGGACAAUGGGCGCAAGCCUGAUCCAGCCAUACCGCGUGGGUGAAGAAGGCCUUCGGGUUGUAAAGCCCUUUUGUUGGGAAAGAAAAGCAGCAGGUUAAGACCCCGCUGUUCUGACGGUACCCAAAGAAUAAGCACCGGCUAACUUCGUG